rnacentral:lncRNA from 1 species
GGCAUGUACCACCAUGCCUGGAACAUGUUUAAAACGUUAGUUAAAAUUUAAAAUAUGUUUUUUCUUUUUGGUACCAGGGAUUGAACUCAGGAGUACUCAACCACUGAGCCACAUCCAAAGCCCUAUUUUGUAUUUCAUUGGAGACAGGGUCUCACUGAGUUGCUUAGCGCCUCACAGUUGCUGAGGCUGGCUUUGAACUCGCGAUUCGCCUGCCUUAGCCUCCCAAGCCUCUGGGAUUACAGACCUAUGCCACUGCACCCGGCUACAUGUUGACAUUUUUAGAGAAAAAAGAUUGUACUUAUCAAAGCAAAGUAGUGAAAAAGUGGCUUUAUUUUUUAUUUUUAACGUCUGGCUUAAUUGAACCUGCUGAGAGCUCAUCUGCUCUUGCAUCCACUCUGUUGCAGAUUCACAUGUAGCUUCUAGAAAACUCUACCAUGCACUGCUAAGGAAAGAGAGAGAAGACAACCCCUUGGUUUUAUUAUAGACAUAGUUUUGAGUUUACAUUCACCUGAGAGGUGUUUGGGGGACCCUUAGGGGUCUCUGAGCCAACUUGGAAAACUUCUUAUGUCCUUUUUUAGUUGAGUCUUGAGAGGGGUGAAGGUUGGGUGCCCCACUUUGGACAUCAGCAAUGAGGAAUUUCAGAGUUAAUAGAGACCUCAGAAAUCAUCCUGUCCAUCCCGCCAGGGCAUCUUCCUGGACAACCAGGAGUUAGUGGGAAGGAUAAGUCAAUUCAAUUGCCAUUUGUUGAGUCUGCAACAGGCAGGAGGGCCCUUGACCUCCAGCUGUGGGAGACAGACAAACAGCCCCACCCUCGCACCUGGAACUCUGGGAAUGGGGCAAAGCUGUUCUGCUUCACUCAGUGAAGGGCCUUCAAGAAGUGGUAGGAGCCCAACAGGUGGAGAGGCCCUCCAGGAAAGGAGGGAGGCACUGCAGGACUUGGCAUGCAGCUGAGUGGUAGAAACUUUGGGGUGUUAGAGAGGAGACCGGAAGCCACCUUGGGGUCAGAUGUAGAAGGAAGUGUUAGGCGUUUUCUUGCAGGAAAGUCAGUUCUGUGGUGAUGUUUUUGUUUUUUCAUGUUUUUCCUCCCACAGAAGGAUCUUUUGUUUGUUUUUGUUCUGUUUGUUUUGUCUUCUUUAAAGUAGGCGGGCAUGAGUGUUGUGUUCAGGCUAUGGUGAAACUUAUGCUUGUAGUGGGGAAAAGAUAGGUUGCAGGCUGCUAGAGCUGAGGAGCCUGUUGUGACUCCCGUUCUGGGCAAGGAUUGGUGAGGGCUGGAAGAAAGCCAAGGACCUGAGGGCAUUGGAGGUGCCUGCUUCUUGGCAGCUAGUUGCAAAUGUGAGGCACGCAGUGGGGAGGAGGCUUUGCAGAGAGGACAGGAACACCAGCCAAUAGGAGCUGUGGACAGAUAAGAGGAUGUGGCAAAUACGUCUGGUUUCUGUGUGUCUUUCAAGCUCUGAGGGGCUUCUCCUGGUUGACCCCAUUGGGCCACAGGAAGGAUCACAUUUUUCUGGGGGCUGUGGUUCUCCUGAAGAGAGUAGCUGUGCCCAUAUCAGUUGUCAGAGAAGCAGAGAGUGGGUGGCUUUGGUUAUUAGUAGAGCCAGUGGCUAUCAGAGGGGCUUGGUCAAAGCCUGCGUGGCUGUGCUUGUCCUCUGCCCUCCUCUCUAUAGGACUGAACCCUUCACCUGCCCCCCUAGUGGCAGAGGCCCAACUCAGGGCACAAAGCCUGAGGUGGCAGCCUGUCCUUCCUUCUGGCUCCCUGUGGAGAGUCCCCACCAGGCCUGACCUUCCUCACACUUCCCCAGUCCAGGCCACCUCAGGCCUCAGCCCUACUCCAAUCAUUUCCUUAGGUUUGGGAGCUUGACACACUGAAGGUUCAGCUAGGUUAUCAGCCCUUCUUGGUAGCGCCUUCUUUACCCUGGGCCUCUCUCUUCCCACCCUCUCAGCUGGGGACUGUGUGCACACUCCUGACUUUCACCCUUUGGAGCUCUCCUCCUCUGACUAGCACUUUAGUCCCUGUUCUUGGCUUUGUUCUGGAUCCUGCCCAUUAUCCUGGCAUCUCCUUGGUGGAUUUAUUUUCCACAUUAUUCAAGAUGCAAAUCUGGCCACACACAACCCUCCCACUCUGAUGGCCUCCAACAUUGAUUUCUGGCCCUCAGCACAAGUGUCACAGCACCCUGGACCCAGCGUUCCUGGCAGUAAUGCCCACCCUUGACCCUUCCACCUUUACCCCUGUAAACCAAUCUGCCUGUCAUCUCCUCCUGCCUUGCUCCAUUUCCAACCACUUGGACUCUGCUCCCACUGCUAUCCCCACCUAGGCGCCCUUCUGACAGACACCUUCUCCCACCUUUCAUCACCAAAUGUGGCACCUUGCUGCUGCUGUGUCCAGUGCAGUCCUGCCAUCUCUGUCCACCUCUGUUUUGUGCUCAGCAUGUUGUAUGGACAAAAUCUGCUUGUAGUUCUGUCUCUACUAAAUCAAACGUCCCCAAGGGCCAGAACUAUGUAUCCCAGCACAAAGCACAGCACCAGACCCUGGGGGAGUGGGAGCACAGGGGACAUAUGGGAAAUGACUCUUCUACUCUGUUUUGUUUGGUUCUGAGGUGAUGGGAAUUGAAGCCAGGGCUUCACACAUGUUAGGCAAGUACUCUACCGCUGAGCUACACCCCCCAGCCUUUGGAAAUGGCCCUUCUGAAUGCAAUGUCACACGUCACCUUGGAGGGAAACACCCCAUAAAAUGUUCAACCAUAACCAAGGGUGAAAGCUAAGCCACCUCCCCAGGCUAAUAUUCCAUAUGAACAUUCAUGCGAAAAGCCCAGGAAUGUGAACAUGACAUCACUGGGGCAAGGAAAACCAGCCAGAAAUGGGCAGUGCCACCCCACAGGACUGCCAUCUUGAGUAGGCCCCUUUCUACUUCAGUCUGUCAAGGCAAGGACCUUAAACACAGGCCAUGGGAAAGGGGCUAUCCUUUACUAGUCCCCCCCAAUUCAGGGUGCUAAACUGGAGGGAUUGCCCUUCAAUCAUGGAGUGGUACUUCCCCCUUCCCACCAUCCCUCUCCUGUCGCUAUAGGAGGGGCUGGCCUUCCUGGGCACAGCACAAUGGUGGUGGAGAUGUGAAGGAAGGGAAUCCGGGUCAGUAACAUAGCCACCAGUAGCUUCUCCCCACAGGUCCAAGCCUCUAGCCAAGCACAGCCCCUCGUGGGCCCAGUCAUGCCCUGGCCCAGGUCAGGAGGCAGCAGGAGAUGGGGAGGGUUGCUGGCUGGAAGGGAUGGUGAAUCCAUGGUGGUGCAAGCAAAUGACAAGCUGGUUAAUGGGGCCUGCAUCACCCCAUUAAGAGUAGGCCCUCACCCAUGAGGUUUCUGGAGGAAAGACCUGGAUUCUGCUCACAGGCCACUCAGCCUGAAAAGUAUGAUUUACACUGAAUAGAUGGGAGCUGAUGGGCAGAAACCUGCCACAUUCCUGCCACAUGCAGGGGGGCCUUUUACCUUGGGUCACGCGCCUCUGCUCUCACCCUGAAAGUCUCUUUCCCACGGGCUCUGGCAUGGCUCAUUUUCCCCUCAGAUUUCAGGGCUCAGUUUAGAUAUCACCUCCAGAAGGUGAACCACCUGAACCACCUCUAGUCACAACCAGUAAGGCCUGAUUUGGGUAUCCUGCAAUGUGUCUCUGAUAUCUGUGCCCUUUCUCUUGCACAUUAAUCCAUUGACUGCACCAUAUCUUUGUCAGAUUGUCAGAUCCUCUCCAUUCUUGUUGGCUCCCCAGGAGACAGCCCUUGAGGGCAGGGACCAAAUCUGUCUUGAGGUAUCCCAGCAGGUCUUGCAUACAAUAGAUGGUUACAUCAUGCUGGUUGACCAAAAGCCCACUCACUUGGCAAGAGGCACUGGUGAGGAAAGGGGAGGAGCUGGGAGGGGCACUUUGAGCUGUUACCUAGAUGAGGGACUAUGCAACAAAUGAGGUGGGCUGGUAGCACCCCAUGGUCAUAGUCCACCUCAAAGAUGCUAGGGCCUCACCCUGGGCAGGGACACUGGAUUGUCACUCAGAUGCAAAGCAAGUGCACUGGGCUGGGAGUCUGUAAGUUCUUAUCCAUGUUUUAUGCAGUGUGUCUUAGGCAAGGCAUCUUUAAUUUAUCUGGAUAUCUGCUCAAAUGUAAAAUGUACAGCUGGACCAGAAACUAGUUCCUGUCUAGUCCUAAUGGCUCCUCUUUUUCAGGAUGGAUGUGAGCUUGAAGUCAGUUCAAGAACCAAGGCUCAGCCAGGCAUGGUGGCACAUGCCUGUAAUUCCAGCAGCUCCGGAGGCUGAGGCAGGAAUAUCUCAAGUUCAAAGCCAGCCUCAGCGGAAGUGAGGUAGUAAGCAACUCAGUGAGAUGUGGGGAUGUGGCUUAGUGGUCGAGUGCCCCUGAGUUCAAUCCCUGGUACCCUGACCCAGCCCCCACAAAAAGAACCAGGGCUCCAGCAGGGUGAGGUGGUAUGUGCCUCUAGUCCCAGCUACUUAGCACUAGAGAUAGCUGGGCACAGUGAUGCCCAACUAUAAUCCCAGUGACUCUGGAGGCUGAGGCAGGAUCACAAGUUUGAAGCCAGCCUGGGCAACUCAGCAAGGCCCUUAGUAACUUGGAAAGACCCUGUCUCGAAAUAAAAAAACAAAAAGGGCAGGGACCAAAUGUAGUUCAAUGAUAGAGGGCUCCUGGGUUCAAGCUCCAGCACCAAACCAAACCAAACAAAACCCACCAAACCAGAGCUAUACUUGCCUGCUGUAAAGUCCUUGGCCAGGUUAUUUAAUAUCUCUAAACUGGAAUUCCUCAACUGGAAAGCAAGACUGAGAACCACAACUUCCUCUCAGAUUCUUGGAAUUAGAUAAAGGGAAACAUUCCACAUACUUUAAAGCACCAUGUGAGUGUUGGUCAUUAUUGUUCUCGUCACUGUUAUUUUUCACCAAUACUUCAUAAGUUUUUAGAUUAUCUCUCAUACUAGGAUGAAGCACUAUGAGGACAAGAGAUGGAACUCCCCUGUUCUUUGCUGCUCAGCUCAGAGCCUGACUUAUUUCAGGUCCUCAAAAAUUUUGCUGAACAGGCCAGUUGCUCUUGUGCAGCUCAGGAGGCUGAGGCAGGAGGACGGCAAGUUCAAGGGCAGCCUUAGCAACUUAGUAAGACCCU